UCGCUGUCGCUCGGCCGCCGCCCCAUGCCCAGCCCCAAGCCGGAGCGGGUGCGGCAGCUGGCGGCCAGCCGCACCGCCGGCCCGCCGCCUCCCGUCGUCAGAUGCUGUGGAGCACUGCCAGGGGUCCGAACAUCCACUGAAUCCUGCGACAGCGGAGUGACGUCAUGCGAUUCAACGGCCUCAUCGUCUUCCGGCCCGGCUGCGAGUGACGUCACACGCGCCAAGCUCAACGCCGCCGACAUCACGCGCGAAGGGGCGGGCGGUGUCGGCUGCGAGAG